rnacentral:misc_RNA from 1 species
AGGAAAGCUGCCAGUCUGCCUGUGGA